UUCAAAUUUAAAAAAAAAUAAAAAAAACGUACCUUCUUUAAGGAGGUAAGUCGAGAAAAUUCGAUGUCAUCGUCAUCUCCGAUCACCUCUCUAACUUCCUCCCUCAGUUGAUAUUGCCAUUGCGGGUGCAAGGCCAAAAGCAGCAAGGUC